ACUUGUCAUCAGUUAAGACAUUGCUAUGAUGGGUGAUCUUCAGUUCCCCCCAUCUCAUACAUUUCCUGCGUGAGUCAAAUAGUCUUCCACAUUUGAAGAAACAAAAGGAUUUCACCAGUUUGUAGAUCGAAGCGAAGAUACAAGAUAGCUAUCGGAAAUAUUUCUUCAAUUUAACCGUUAUAUCUUGCGAUGUCGUAAAAUUCUGUCUUUGCAACCCCAUUUUCCACCCUACAAUUUUGCAACCGCUUCAUGGAGUUGCGAAAAGAGAGAUGCUCAAAAGGCAGUCUGGUGUCAGGUCUCUAGCAAGAAAAGAGAAGUGUCGUAAUCAGGUUUAAUAGCCUACUUAUUACGAAUCAGUUUGGAACACUGUGAUGAGUUAUUUACUGGCAGCAUUUGAGUCGAUUAAAAAUAGAUCACUGGAUCAAGUUAAGUGGAGAGGUCCCUUGUUUGUCCCUCAUCCCAUUGGGGAGUUUUCACAACAACAAGUACUGCAUGGACCCUGAAUGUUUGAAUAACCUCAAAGAAAUUAACGCCAAAUUAAGUUGUGAGGAACCCAAUACUCGCCCACUUCGACACGCUAUCGGCUUUUUCAACGUUCUCAACGAGGAUGUCAUUCCCAUCCUACUCAUACUCAGCAGCAAGGAUCAGCCCACCAUAUUCCCGAGCAUAUUCCGUACAACAAUCAAGUGAUGGUCGAUGUAUCGCAUUUCCAGCCAAACGAGAUCUCUGUGAAGACGACCGACAAUAACAUCAUUGUUCACG